rnacentral:tRNA from 1 species
CAAAGUAUAGCUUAACCUAAAGCAUCUGGCUUAAACCCAGAAGAUUUCAUCAUGACUCGAUCACUUUGA